rnacentral:rRNA from 1 species
AGAACGAACGCUGGCGGCAGGCUUAACACAUGCAAGUCGAACGCUCGUAGCAAUACGGGAGUGGCAGACGGGUGAGUAACGCGUGGGAACAUACCCUCCGGUUCGGAAUAGCUCAGGGAAACUUGGAUUAAUACCGGAUACGGCUGAGAGGCGAAAGAUUUAUCGCCGGAGGAUUGGCCCGCGUUCGAUUAGCUUGUUGGUGAGGUAACGGCUCACCAAGGCGAUGAUCGAUAGCUGGUCUGAGAGGAUGAUCAGCCACAUUGGGACUGAGACACGGCCCAAGCUCCUACGGGAGGCAGCAGUGGGGAAUAUUGGACAAUGGGCGCAAGCCUGAUCCAGCCAUGCCGCGUGAGUGAUGACGGCCUUAGGGUUGUAAAGCUCUUUCGCUCGGGACGAUAAUGACGGUACCGAGAUAGAAGCCCGGCUACUCGUGCCAGCAGCCGC